AUGGCUUUAUACGAAUUAGCAGUUUUUGAUCCCUCUGAUCCUGUUCUGGAUCCAAUGUGCAGACAAGGUAUGUUCGUAAUUCCCUUCAUGACUCGUUUAGGAAUAACAGGUUCGUGGAGUGGUUGGAGUAUUUCAGGAGGACCUAUAACAAAUCUGGGUAUUUGGAGUUAUGAAGGUGUGGCAGGUAUGCAUAUUGUGUUUUCUAGCUUGUGUUUCUUGGCAGCAAUCUGGCAUUGGGUAUAUUUGGACCUAGAAAUAGUCUCUGAUGAGCGGACGGGAAAACCCUCUUUGGAUUUGCCCAAGAUCUUUGGAAUUCAUUUAUUUCUUGCAGGGGUGGCUUGCUUUGGCUUUGGGGCAUUUCAUGUAACGGGUUUGUAUGGUCCUAGGAUAUGGGUAUCUAGUCCUUAUGGACUAACUAGAAAAGUACAAGCUGUAAAUCCAGCAUGGGGUGCAGAAGGUUUUGAUCCUUUUGUUUUGAGGGGAAUAGUUUCUCAUCAUAUUGCUGUGGGUACAUUGGGUAUAUUAGCGGGCUUAUUCCAUCUUAGUGUCCGUCUGCCUCAACUUCUAUAUAAAGGAUUACAUAUGGGCAAUAUUGAAACUGUACUUUCUAGUAAUAUCGCUGUUGUUUUUUUGCAGCUUUCGUAG
rnacentral:rRNA from 1 species